rnacentral:rRNA from 1 species
AUGACACUUACUGCCGGUGACACCUUGCUGAUGAAGGUUUUGACUUCUCCCUCCCUCCCCUCUCUGCCAAGUGUGUCUCGCCUUCAAUCUCCUCUGUCUGCACAUUUCAUAAGAGCACCACCUACUCCUCAAUGCAAUUGCUCCAAAACUCAUCCAUCACCCUCCCCUCACCAGGUGAUUGCGAGGACACACAUGAUGCGAUUGGGAGGAAGGUCUGAACUGUGGUUCGUGACCCGAAAGCACAACCACGGCGUUCCGCCGCGCUUGGAUGCACCCAGGAAUCCUCGGCGCAGCACCGGGAUCGUGGUCAACAAUGGAGACAUUGCACGUGUGGUGUGUAUUUGA